GAAUUGACCAACCAGAAGGCGGGACUGUCUAUGGUGACCGUAGACAUUUGCACCGUAGACUUGACCAUUGAGCGAAUUCCCCAAAUGUGGGAAUCUCGACUGCGUAAUUUCUGGUAGUGGGGGACUGCGUUCGCGCUCUCCCCUG
rnacentral:snRNA from 15 species